rnacentral:misc_RNA from 1 species
UCCGGUUUGUCACCGGCAGUCACCUUAGAGUGCCCAACUUAAUGCUGGCAACUAAGAUCAAGGGUUGCGCUCGUUGCGGGACUUAACCCAACAUCUCACGACACGAGCUGACGACAACCAUGCACCACCUGUCACUUUGUCCCCGAAGGGUAAACUUGAUCUCUCAAGCGGUCAAAGGAUGUCAAGUCCUGGUAAGGUUCUUCGCGUUGCUUCGAAUUAAACCACAUGCUCCACUGCUUGUGCGGGCCCCCGUCAAUUCCUUUGAGUUUCAACCUUGCGGCCGUACUCCCCAGGCGGAGUGCUUAAUGUGUUAACUUCAGCACCAAGGGUAUUGAAACCCCUGACACCUAGCACUCAUCGUUUACGGCGUGGACUAC